GGGGAGAUGCUAUAGCAAGGGAGUUAAUAGAAUGGACUCUGGAACCAGACUGCCUGGGCUCAAAUCCCAGUUCCGCCA
rnacentral:tRNA from 1 species